GACGAACCGAGCGAACGUUGUUCGGAAUCACUGGGCUUAAAGGGCGCGUAGGCGGGCCGUCUAGUCCGUGGUGAAAUCCUCCGGCUCAACCGGAGAAGUGCCUCGGAUACUGGCGGCCUCGAGGGGGUAGGGCGUGCGGAACUUCCGGUGGAGCGGUGAAAUGCGUAGAUAUCGGAAGGAACACCGGUGGCGAAAGCGGCGCGCUGGACCCAUCUGACGCUGAGGCGCGAAAGCCAGGGAGCAAACGGG
rnacentral:rRNA from 1 species